AUUGAACGCUGGCGGCAGGCCUAACACAUGCAAGUCGAGCGGGGCGGCGGACGGGUGCGUAAUUCCUAGGUAUCUGCCCGGUCGCGGGGGAGGACGUCACGAAACGGGCGCUAAUACCGCAUCCUAUCAGAUUAGCCUCGGUCGGGUUCGCUGGUUGGUGGGGUAAUGGCCUACAAAGGCGACGACCCGUAACUGGUCUGAGAGGAUGAUCAGUAACACUGGAACUGAGACACGGUCCAGACUCCUACGGGAGGCAGCAGUGGGGAAUUUUGGACAAUGGGCGAAAGCCUGAUCCAGCCAUGCCGAGUGUGUGAAGAAGGUCUUCGGAUUGUAAAGCACUUUAAGUUGGGAGGCGGUACCAACAGAAUAAGCACCGGCUAACUACGUGCCAGCAGCCGCGGUAAUUC
rnacentral:rRNA from 1 species